CCUCGGGAGGCAGCAGUGGGGAAUUUUGGACAAUGGGGGAAACCCUGAUCCAGCGAUGCUGCGUGCGGGAAGAAGGCCUUAGGGUUGUAAACCGCUUUCAGCUAGGAAGAAAAAAUUAUAGGUAAUAUCUGUAAUUUAUGACGGUACUAGCAGAAGAAGCACCGGCUAACUACGUGCCAGCAGCCGCGGUAAUACGUAGGGUGCAAGCGUUAAUCGGAAUUACUGGGCGUAAAGAGUGCGCAGGCGGCUCUUUAAGACAGGUGUGAAAUCCCCGAGCUCAACUUGGGAAUUGCGCUUGUGACUGGAGAGCUAGAGUGCGGAAGAGGGGGAUAGAAUUCCUGGUGUAGCAGUGAAAUGCGUAGAUAUCAGGAGGAAUACCGAUGGCGAAGGCAGUCCCCUGGGCCAGCACUGACGCUCAUGCACGAAAGCGUGGGGAGCAAACAGGAUUAGAUACCCUGGUAGUCCACGCCCUAAACGAUGUCAACUAGUUGUUGGAAGAGGAGACUCUUUAAGUAACGAAGCUAACGCGUGAAGUUGACCGCCUGGGGAGUACGGUCGCAAGAUUAAAACUCAAAGGAAUUGACGG
rnacentral:rRNA from 1 species